GUAUAGGCCGGAUAGUUCCAGUUGCUUAGGCCUUUAAGUUAAUUGCAAAUAAACUGAAAAGAAGAAGAUUAUAUUCUAACCCUAUUUAAUAAUGUCAAUAUUUGAGAAAUUUCCAGGCAUUUUCUUUAAUAAUUUUCAUUUUAAAGCAAUACAAUCGUAUAAUAAAUUCAAAAUAGAAUAUUGAACAUAUAAUGGCAAAUAUUUAAAACGUAAAUUAUCUUGAUAAUAGUAAGAAAAAUUACCGAAAAAGGUAUAGGAGACUAUGGGCUGCAUUCUAACAACACCAUAUGGUCAAAAAUAAACAGUAUCAAGGUGGGCAUAGACUUCUGAAGAAGUAGAGGAUAUAGAGCAACCUGGAGCAACUGAAACAAACACAAAAUACAAAUUGGAGACGUUUACACAUCGGAUGAGGGUGUGGAUGAAUUGGUUUGUUCAAGCCAAGUUACGGAUUGAAAAUUAACUUAAAAACUUCAAAAAUUCAUAUUUUGAGUAGAAGCUUUGGCAUCAUUGGAACGAAGAAUCUUCUAGAAUUAAUAUAC